rnacentral:rRNA from 1 species
UGGGGAAUCUUGCGCAAUGGGCGAAAGCCUGACGCAGCCAUGCCGCGUGAAUGAUGAAGGUCUUAGGAUUGUAAAAUUCUUUUAGCAGGGACGAUAAUGACGGUACCUGCAGAAAAAGUCCCGGCUAACUUCGUGCCAGCAGCCGCGGUAAUACGAAGGGGGCUAGCGUUGCUCGGAAUUACUGGGCGUAAAGGGAGCGUAGGCGGGUUAUCAAGUUGGGGGUGAAAGCCCGGGGCUCAACCUCGGAAUUGCCUUCAAAACUGAUAACCUGGAGUAUGGAAGAGGUAAGUGGAACUCCGAGUGUAGAGGUGAAAUUCGUAGAUAUUCGGAAGAACACCAGUGGCGAAGGCGACUUACUGGUCCAUUACUGACGCUGAGGCUCGAAAGCGUGGGGAGCAAAC